GUAGUCGUUCUCUUCGCUUCUGCCAAGUGCCACCGACCCCUCUUGUGACCUAGGCUCCAUCUCCUCUUCAGAGUAAGGGGUUUAAGUAAGGUAACGGCAAGGGUUGUGUGAUGUGGAUCAACUAGCAAGGUUGGGAAGAAGGAAGUUGGAUGUUUGUUUGGGGUUUUGAUUUGAGACAAGAGCUCUGAUUAGAGGACAUACAACACAAUCUACAUUAGAGGCGGGUACCUCUUGACU